GAUGAACGCUGGCGGCGUGCUUAACACAUGCAAGUCGAACGAAGCACUCUAUUUGAUUUUUUUCGGAAAUGAAGAUUUUGUGACUGAGUGGCGGACGGGUGAGUAACGCGUGGGUAACCUGCCUCAUACAGGGGGAUAACAGUUGGAAACGACUGCUAAUACCGCAUAAGCGCACGGUAUCGCAUGGUACAGUGUGAAAAACUCCGGUGGUAUGAGAUGGACCCGCGUCUGAUUAGCUUGUUGGUGGGGCAACGGCCUACCAAGGCGACGAUCAGUAGCCGACCUGAGAGGGUGAACGGCCACAUUGGGACUGAGACACGGCCCAAACGCCUACGGGAGGCAGCAGUGGGGAAUAUUGCACAAUGGGGGAAACCCUGAUGCAGCGACGCCGCGUGAACGAAGAAGUAUUUCGGUAUGUAAAGUUCUAUCAGCAGGGAAGAUAAUGACGGUACCUGACUAAGAAGCACCGGCUAAAUACGUGCCAGCCGCCGCGGUAA
rnacentral:rRNA from 1 species